rnacentral:rRNA from 1 species
GACGAACGCUGGCGGCGUGCUUAACACAUGCAAGUCGAACGAAGUGGCGCACGGGUGAGUAACGCGUAAUCAACCUGCCCUUCAGAGGGGGACAACAGUUGGAAACGACUGCUAAUACCGCAUACUGAAGGAGGGGCUUGCGGCUGAUUAGCUAGUUGGAGGGGUAACGGCCCACCAGGGCGAUGAUCAGUAGCCGGUCUGAGAGGAUGAUCGGCCACAUUGUGACUGAGACACGGCCCAGAAUCCUACGGGAGGCAGCAGUGGGGAAGCUGCCGCAAUGGACGUAAGUCUGACGGAGAAACGCCGCGGGAGUGUGGACGGCCUUCGGGUUGUAAAGCUCUGUUAAUCGGGACGCGGUACCGGAAUAGAAAGCCACGGCUAACUACGUGCCAGCCGCCGCGGUAAUAC